UAAGAGGCUCAGCAGGGCUAAACGCAUGUGGGUGGGGCAAUGUGGCUGCGGGCGGGGCUAAGAUGGUCCGGGCGGGGCUAAGGGGGCUGUGGGCGGGGCUGACCGUGUCCGGGCAGAGCUAUGGGCAGGGUGGUGCUAAAGGCGGGCGGAUGGGGCUCAAGGUGUUCAGGCGUGGUCGGUGGGUGGGGCCUGCUGGCUGUGGGAGGGGCUAAAGCGCAGGGGGCGGGCGUGGGAGCCUUCCUCGGCCCCCCCCGGCCCCUAUGGACGGCAGUGCUCCAUCGUUGCCAGCUGUGCCCAUCGCCAACCCUGACAUCACAGCCUCCCGCUACCGAGGGCUGCCCGGCCCCACAGCAGGAAGCCCCACAGCGGGCAGCGAGCGCAAGAAGGGCCGCAAGAAAAUCUCCAAGGCUGACAUCGGAGCCCCGUCUGGCUUCAAGCACGUCGGCCACAUCGGCUGGGAUCCCGACAAUGGCUUUGAUACAGCAGCGCUGGACCCCGACCUGCGGGCUCUGUUCGCACGUGCUGGCAUCAGCGAGGCGCAGCUGGCAGACGCUGAGACCUCACGCCUCAUCUAUGACUUCAUCGAGGGGCAGGGGGGGCUGCAGGCCGUCAAGGAGGAGAUGCGGCGCCAGGGCCCACAAGGCAGAGGGGGUACCCCACCUCCUCCCCCUCCUCCCUCC
rnacentral:lncRNA from 1 species